GGAGGCUGUAGCCAGGGCUGGGAGAGGUAGAAUGGCUUGAAAACCAAGGACAGAAAAGGCUGCCACGCAUCCCAGAGUGUGAGGGACAACUCAAAGAAUUCAGGACAUCCCCAGUGAAGCAAGAGGGGACACCUGGAAAUGUAACUGGGAGCAAAGUCUCUUCACCGUUGUGUGGCAGCAUACUGCACCUUACAGUAUGAAAAGGAGAAGGGAUUCCUCUGACUGUUUCUGGGUAGAGAAGAUCCUUCCAAGUGAGAAUGAGGAGGACUUUUUCUGACAGCUUCCAAAACAAUGUCACACAUUGGAGACCAGCACCUCAAGUAUGAGAGCAGACUGCCACAGCACGAGCAAAAGGCUCCAAAAGAAGCAAGCAGUGGUUUUAAAGAGGGAGCCUCUAAUUUAAGAAUGAAAAUUUUAAACUAUGACUGCUAGUUACAUCAGUCAUUAUGCUGCUGCUGCCAACAAAAUUACUCCCUCAUUCAGUUAAGCCACUCAAACACCCUGCUUUUACUAAUGACUGUUGCUAGACCUUGCCCAGCUGCAAAGAACAGUCCUGGAGCCAUCAACAAACACCCAGGGAGGGAUCAGACCAUCUACCAGCUAGGACUUCACAGCCAACACACCAUCUGGGACACAGUCUUCACUGAUCUGAAAUGGAUGAGAACUGACAAGCUAAAUGUUCAUCCCAGAAGUCCCCUGCCAGCAGGUAGCUGCUAGGUGACCUCUGGAAAGGUAAUUCAGCCAACUGGAUUUGGUCCAAUUUGGAGAGCACAGAUCUCCAAAAACUAACAGUACUACUGCAAGACAAACAGAUCUGCAUAACAGCUACCUGCUUGCUGCUGCCUGGGAACAGCCCCUCCAUGUCAGGAGAGAACUCUGCUAGUUAGCAGAGUUAGCAGUUAGCAGUCUUCCUGCUCCAACUGGGAAAGAAAUGUACCUGCACUGAAGCAGCUUGUGAUAUAACCUAGAGAGACAGAUGUAUUUCUUAAACAGUAGAGUAAGUCUGUACCUGCUGGAACCGGAAUGAUUCUGAUCUCUUUUUCUGAUUCAGUUGCCACUCCUUAAAAUGAAGUACAGCUUCAUCCACAGUGAGUAUGCCCAUUUUCACUUGCUCCUGUAAUGUAAUCAGCUGCCGUUGGCCUGGGGUUUUCAUUCCAGCAAAUGGAUCAUAUAUGCUUGAUUGAGACAGGUCCCUUACAGGCCUGACUAUUGUCUCUGAAGAGAGAACACCACCAAAAGUAUUAUUGAACUUGUGGCAUCUGCCUUCCUCACUGAAUAGAAAGAGCUCAAGCACCCUUGAUAUAGCAGAGAUGCAAAACAAUAAAAAAAAUUAUCAGUAUUACAGACUGAAUGUUUUCUAAGAAGUGUUUUGUUCUUAGGCCAUCCUGCUACUCCUUAGGGCUAAAAGCCCAGCUGAGAGGCAGCCUUGAACACAGAUAUUUCCCAGAGAUAAUCUCUGUUCUUAAAAACAUAAUUUAAGUGAACAUCACAAAAUGUAUUCCUUAAAGUGCUCAGCUUCCUCAGCAAUCCACAAAACAGAGCUUUCACCUUGGCAGUCACAAACCUAGACUCUUCCUAGGUAAUUUGUACAGCAUAAGUCCAGAAACUGAAAACUCAUUCUACUGAUGCUGGCAUUUUGUAACUCAUUUGUAACAUAAAGAGGAGUUCCCAACACAUGAGAUAAAAGCUUAGAUGUGGUACCUGGCACUCUGAUAGUGCACAGGAUAAGAAGUGAAAGUAUGAGGACAGAGGUUUGGAGGUGCAGAGAGCAAUGGCAAUCGGUUCACUAGAAGUGAAAUCACGGGAUAAUGAUUAACAAGGAGUGGCUAUAUACAGAACAUUAAAAGAGGGACAUCAUUUGCAUGAAGUAAAUACGGUUCACAUCAUAAAAAAGGACUUCAAUGACCAUUAUGAUCCUGAAUGAGGAUAAACUCCAAGACAGGGGAUACAUGUAGAGUACAUGAUAAAAGGAUAUAGUUAUAAAAGUUUCCAAUGUCACAUGAGGUCAAAAAGGUUGGGUCAUUCAUAAAGGACUAUUAUCCCCAGAGCUUUGUAAAACAGUCUAUUCUGUCAUAUUUCAUGCAAAUGAAGCUAUCUCAGCAGAUCUGCUUUUGGACUACUGGAAGGAUUUUCAGAGUGAACUUCUGACUUACCUUUCUUAAUCCUUCCUCUAGGGACAUAAAGAUUCUCAGGUCUUUUAGCUUUCUGUGCAAAAACUGCAAAACAAACCUUCUUUAGAUACUGAAAUGCAUCUCAUGAAGACAGAAAUAGCAUGGAUGAAUAUGGGAAGCACACAAUUCUGUAGUGCAUUACAGCUUCUGUUACCCUACUAAGUCCAUUAAAGAAAACAAAGAUCUGUACAGAAGAAUUCCCUUUCUAUUGACCUCAAAGAAUUUAGCCCAGUCACCUCUAAAAGAAAUCUGGACAUGGUCUCCCCAUAAUCCUGUCAUGGGAGGAAGGAGAAGUCACUAAAAUUACUCUCUCACAUGGUACUGUGGUUCUUGUGAGAAUGUUUGUGAAAUAUGACCAAGAUUUCCAAAACUGUCUAGCAAACUAAGAGGCACAAUCUUCUUCAAUUUCAAUUAAACCCCAUCUCAGAGGGAGAUCAUGCCCUAUAUAAAUGUGAUUGAAUCAAUGAUACUAUUACAGAGUAGCAAUGUCUCAAUUUAUUAGCUUGAUUGUGUCCUUAUAAUAUCAGGAUCUUUCCUUUGUAGUUGGAUUUGUUUAUACCAUUUGGGGGUAAUCUGUCAUCCUACUUCUUUCAUUAAGAGCAAGCUCAGGCCACGAUCUUGAGAUACAAUAUCCCCAUAUUUUCAAAGUAGACAGAAGAUGAAAAAUAUAUGAAAUUGGAUCCCAAAGGUGGUCCAACUCCAGAGUCAAAUAAUACAGGGAUCUCAAAAAGUGUUGGCUUUCUUGGCAUUUAUUUGGCAACUGAAGCCCAUGUCAAUGCCAUACUACAGUUGACUAGUCUACGUUUCCACUGGUACCCAACUCACUUUUGGAGAUGUACAGUUCAUUGUCUGGCUGUGGAGAACUAGACUCUGGUCUUGGAACAGGGACUGGAGGUCUGUUAGCCAUUUCCUGCGGAAAAGUAUCUUGUUCCACUGGGUAGUAUACAUCUUCACCACAUGGCUCGUAAACUUCCUCUGAAUCUGGUACAUCCAUGCUACCGCCUACAACAGAGUACAGUUUGUAAGAAUAACAACCUGGUCACUUCACUGAACACUGGAUCCCUCCAGAUGCAUUAUGUACCACAUUUUUACCAAGCUGGCCAUUUCACAGGCAAAAGCAUCCAGUUCUGCAGUGACUUCAGUGUGCCAAAGCCCUUCAGGACAGGACUUGACUUGAUAAAGUCAUGAACAUCUAGUAGCAUGUAACUGUUUGCCACUAAACCUGUACCACCUGUUUUGGUGAAGAAAUAGUGAAAAACCUCCUAACUCUUUUUAAGAACUUGAAGAACAAUUAGUAUAAUUAAUUCCAGUUAAUUGACAUACUAUAGUUAACAAAUCAAACAGAGCACUGGUUUCCAAAAACUAUUUAUGAUAGUCUACAAAGUACUAAAGAGAAUUGUUCCUUUGUCUGAAGCAAGCAAACAGUGUGGACUAUCUCCUAUCCUUAAGAGAUGAACAAGAAAUCUCAAAUUCUAUUUAACUGCUUUAACUGUGCUGCUGCCAUCCCUCCCUCCAAACAGGUCUCACCUUCUAAAAACCUGCGGAGCAUGGAGUCUUUUGUAUUUAAAGAAACUUCAUCUCCAGCAACUGGAGUGUCUGGUUUGGACUGAAGCAUCUCUACAUCUGAAAAAAAAAAUAAUCAGAAUUAUGAACCUGUUAAUUAUAUGCUUAAAUGUAUGGAACAAUGUAAUGUAAUAUAAUAUAAUAAACUGAUGUGGUAUUUCUGGCUGGACCUUCGGUUUGUGGUGACAACCAAAGAAGAAGCCGGGUAACUGACCAGACAUAUUCCUCAAAAAAGGCUUCUGAGUUGCCAUGUUCAGUCCACUCCGCACAAAUCUUUUCCAGCUGCCCGAUGCUUACACUUGAGGGUGACUAACAUUGCUGUUGAGAAGUUCUGACAAGGCUUCAAGCAGGCACUGAGUAUUGGUUACUACUGAGAGUAUGUUGGGCAGAUUAAAGUUUUGGCCUCUGCAGAGGGCUCUCGAGAGGAAACCUGCGAUUUUGCAAGGCAAGACAUUAAAGGCAAUUUUCCCAUGACCCAGAAAAUAGUGUUUGUUUUGUUUAUUAGCUAAAAGUCAAAACAGUUGGCUGAGUUAAUUAGUUAGACUGGAAGGUGUUUAGGGGGUCAGAUGAUAAUCCAGUAUUGAGGAAGGAGUGACAGCAAACAGUAAGAUACUUUGUUAAUUCGGUGUUUUACAUGAAGAAUUCUGAUUUUUUUUAAAAAAGGGUCAACCUCACUGUAACCCUAAAACUAAUCCUAAAACUAAAAUUAAAUGUUAGGUAACCAUGCUCCUAAUGAUAUUAAAACUAAGACUGAUUACUAAGUGAAUUGUUGAGGCAUAUCUAUUACUGUGUCAUAAUUCUAUUGCUAUAUAAACUAGAUGGUUUGGGUUAUA